AAAGAAAGUAGCAAAGUUAUUUGAUAAUAUUGUAUGUCCAUAUAAAAAUGUUAAAACAUUAUUCUUUUGUUAUGAUUAACUCUUUUCCUGCCCUCCAGUGACAGUAUGUCUGCAAAGGGGUCAACCGUGUUGAGCCUAUCAGAAGAUGCUCUAAAGAACCAUCUACUGUCACAGAAGAAGCUGCUCUCUCUUGAAGCGCAAUGCAUCUCGAACAUAUUGGAAAACUGCAUCAGUCGAGUUGAGAUUGUAGCCUCUCUUCCUGCUGUCCUCCGGUUAAACAGAGUGUCUGGUGUUGUGGACAAGCAGUUGAGUCGGGCACUUCAAGAGCAUCAACUAUUAGCCUGAAAGACUGGAGACGCUUAGAAGGUCUCAAGCAGGAUUCAGACGGGGAACAAGAGGGAGAAGUUGUGAAAGCAAAGGCUCAGCUUGAGCAGGACAUCAAGAACUCUGUCAGGGGUCUGUUCAGGCUUGCCCGAGCCCAUCCUGAUGCCAGGUGUGGUUUGAGGGCAGAUCUAGGUAAAGAAGUAGCCAUAGGAGAUAGUGAGUACAAGCUAAUUACAGGGCUUGAGAAGUUUCUCAGCCAUGCGGUAGAAAAGUUGCUGACCAGUCUGGAUGAGGAGCUACACGUAAAGCUGGUUCUUCAAAAUCAGGUGUCUUCGUCCCCUGCCAACCUCGCGGAGCUCAUAGUUUCACAGCAAGAAGUAGCUACAUCCUUAAAACAAAUAGAUGCACAGAUAUCUGAGAAAAAUGAUGAGAUCAAACAUUUUCAAGAUUCUCUAAAAGGAGACAACAGUCAAAAAGCAGAUACGUCGCUUCUUGCGGAACAAGCAGUGCCAGUCACAUAUGAAGACAUCAAAGCACAGCAGUAAACAACAGGAGCUUGAUCGACUGAACAGUCAGCUCAACAAAUUGUUCCUCGAAAGCAGACAGGCAGAGAGAGUAAUCCAAGUGGAAAAUGAGAAGGUGGAGACAGCAAUUGAAAACUUGCUCCAAACUUUUGACGACGACAUAGAAAAAAACCAGGCCGACCUGGAGUUGGAAGGAAUGGGUUAUGAAAGGGAGGAGGAGGAACUGAAGACGCUGGAGAAACCCUUUUCUGUCCUCGAGGUGAAGUAUAACAUGAUCCUGGAGAAGCGUCGGCUGGCAGAAGAGAAGAGAAGGGAGGAGAUGAGGGAGCUGCAGUUGAAGACCAAAGCUGCUAUUUUUGCCCAAGCCUGGUGGAGAGGCUACAGUACUCGCAAGGCCUUAAAGAACAAGGGGAAAAGCAAGAAGGCCAAAAAAGGCAAAGGCAAGAAGACCAAAUAAGCGACUGACUAGUUUAGUUACUCUGGUGCAGACACACUCUACCUGAAUGAACGUCUUUGGAUGAAAAUUAAAAAAGAGCUGGUUGAGCAAAUACUAUUAUACUCCAUAAUCAGAGUGUGUUUGUCAUUUAUGUGUUAAUAAAGUGUUUUAUGCUUUAAACUAGUAUUUACUUCUUUUUUUUUUAAAUAUAAAAGGACUGCAUGCAGACAAUGUCAAAC
rnacentral:lncRNA from 1 species